CAGUCGCCACGGGAAUACGGAGGGGGCUAGCGUUGUUCGGAAUUACUGGGCGUAAAGCGCACGUAGGCGGCUUUACAAGUCAGAGGUGAAAGCCUGGUGCUCAACACCAGAAUUGCCUUUGAGACUGUAUCGCUUGAACGUCGGAGAGGUGAGUGGAAUUCCGAGUGUAGAGGUGAAAUUCGUAGAUAUUCGGAAGAACACCAGUGGCGAAGGCGGCUCACUGGACGACUGUUGACGCUGAGGUGCGAAAGCGUGGGGAGCAAACAGGAUUAGAUACCCCUGUAGUCCCUGUCUCUUAUAC
rnacentral:rRNA from 1 species